rnacentral:lncRNA from 1 species
GCCCUUAUCCCUUUAAAUGCCUAAGUAGGGCAUGCUACUAAGAAUCAAGCUGGUGAAAGGCAGAUGUGCCUAUCUCUGUUGGAAGCCGACUAACCCUCCGCCCUCCGUGGACUCGAAGCUGGAGGUGGACUCAGAACCCUCUGGGUUGCAGUCACACGCAGACCCCCUUACUCUCCCAGUAGUGUGUGUGGCAGUUGCUUGGUAGUAGAAACCUAGUGGGGCCUGAGCCCUGCCGUUGGCCUCUGCCUCUUGUGGUUCCUGAGAAGGCAGUAGAACCUGGACAGUUGCCACCCCUCUGUUUUACUGAAUCCCCCGUCAGUGUUCAUCACUGUUGUGAUUUUAUCCCGACAUGGAAAGCGCUAAGAAAUGAACUUUCCAGUUAGCCACGCGCUGCUGCAGGUGUUUGAUAAUCCUGUUUAAACUGGUGCUGUGUACAUGGGAUGUACUGAUACAGAACUUCUCUUCUAGGGAAAGCUAAUCAUUUGUCAAUGAUUUAAAAAUUAUUGUCACUACUGUUGAUUACUGUGGACUAAGUGAGCCUCGUGAAAGAGCUGAUUGGAAUUUGUACCUUUGUGGCUGCUCAUGCAUUUUCCAUGGUGCUACAGACAGCCUGCCCGGGCUGGUGGCUAGGAAACGUGCGUGUUCAGCGAUGCCUAGCGCUCUCACUCCUGAGCACUCUGACUUGGUGCCCACCCCUGGCGCGUGCUGGUUUGGCAGUAUGAAAUGCCCACGAGGGUUUUGUAUCUCACAAAGGUUAUGUAGCCUGUUCUGUGAACAAUGAGGGAAGCAGUCUCUUGGUGGAAAUUUUAACAUGCCUUUAGCUGUGGCAGUGAUGGGCUUUCUUUUUCCUUCUGUCUGGGUCAGGUUGUGCACAAGUCAUGUUAUUUGGAAGGUGCACUGCACUGCUGUUUACAUGGGCAUUUUAUGCGGGUGCUUUGAAGUGCCUUGCAUCAGGGAUUAGGAUCAAUUGAAUUCUUUUUUUCAUGGGACUAUGUAAAGCAUGUAGUAUUGCCUUGGUAUGUAACUAUUGUAGUUUUACCAUGGAGAAAUACCUUUAAAUUAUAACUCUGGAGAGCAGCCAUGAGGACCCUCUGUACUUCCUGGUGCUUUUCCUUAACAUGGUGGGUGAGUAGCGAGUGCGGGGCACCCUGUACAUGGCAGGGUGGGGCGUUCUCAUUAAAUAAUACUGAGAUUUUAAACAUGCGCAGUCUGAGCGUUUUUACAAUAAACAUUAAGAAUGG